rnacentral:RNase_P_RNA from 1 species
GGCAGAGAGAGCCCGGCCCCCGUGUGCGAACACGAGGAAAGUCCCCCCACCGUCCGGACGGGUGACCGGGCGCAAGCCCGGAGUCGGAGACGGCUGGCUCUGGAACAGAAACGAGACCACUCGGCCCGACCGAUGAGGUGUGCGAACCCGAGCGCGAGCGAGGGGAGUUGACCCACCGAGGGUAGCGUGAUCGCGAAGGGACCACGGAGCUGCGAGCGGCGUCCGCCGCGCGCCUUCGAGGCGCUUCGCGUCUCGCCGACGGCGUGCGGUUCCACCGGACGCCCUACGGGACCCGUCGGGUCCCGCGACGGCCGAGAACGGAUGGAACGGCGAAUCCCCACCGGUGCAAGUCCGCCUCGUCAAGGUAGUCCGGACGCGGAGGUGGACGCUCAGCCGAAUGCCGGGACGAACAGAAGGGGGCUUACUCCUCUCAGCC